GAAGGUCUUCGGAUCGUAAAGCUCUGUUGUUAGGGAAGAAGAAGUGCCGUUCGAACAGGGCGGCGCGGUGACGGUACCUAACGAGAAAGCCCCGGCUAACUACGUGCCAGCAGCCGCGGUAAUACGUAGGGGGCGAGCGUUGUCCGGAAUUAUUGGGCGUAAAGCGCGCGCAGGCGGUCCCUUAAGUCUGAUGUGAAAGCCCACGGCUUAACCGUGGAGGGUCAUUGGAAACUGGGGGACUUGAGUGCAGAAGAGGAGAGCGGAAUUCCACGUGUAGCGGUGAAAUGCGUAGAGAUGUGGAGGAACACCAGUGGCGAAGGCGGCUCUCUGGUCUGUAACUGACGCUGAGGCGCGAAAGCGUGGGGAGCAAACAGGAUUAGAUACCCUGGUAGUCCACGCCGUAAACGAUGAGUGCUAAGUGUUAGAGGGGUUAACCCUUUUAUGGUGGAGCUUAAGCGUUAAGCACUC
rnacentral:rRNA from 1 species